rnacentral:rRNA from 1 species
GAAGCUGGAUUCGCUAGUAAUCGCGCAUCAGCCAUGGCGCGGUGAAUACGUUCCCGGGCCUUGUACACACCGCCCGUCAAGCCAUGGGAGCCGGGGGUGCUUGAAGUGCGUCGCCGCAAGGCGCGCCCUAGAGCAAAACCGGUGACUGGGGCUAAGUCGUAACAAGGUACC